GUUAAGCUUGCUGGUAGUUCUACCAGGAGGACUCAAAUCACGGGCAGCUGGCCACCAAUCACCAACUACCAAUCACCUGCCCGCACCUGCUCUAUAAAGAGUAGUCUAACAUAUGUUCUUGCUGCUCAGGUCUUCGUUCGAUGCAUGCUGCUGCUUUACUGUGCUUUCGACUUCGAUUCUCGUAUCUCUCGUCGCUCAGUUACAAUGUCGGGUUAUACCCACCCAGAGGUCGUAACGUUGGAUUCUGAUGAGGACGCUAUCCCUCCAUCUCCUGCCAUAUCGCAUAGGAGUUCUCGAAUCAGUGUCUUGAUGGUGCAUUGUUAAGUUUGGAGGUUAACACUCUAAACAGCUCAUGUUCGGAUCAACCAUCCGGCUCUGUUCCCUCCGCCUUCAAAGGCUACGCACCUGGCACGUGCCUUGCUACCAUGGCUACUGCAGCCCCUGCGUUAGCCCCCGUAAUGUAUACUCUCUCUACAGCUCUACCAGCCCAGCUUCAGGGAAUUCAGACGUCUAUGCCCCGCUGCGAAACGGACCCAAUAAUCAGCCCACCCUUCCACGAACUCCGGCUGGAUUAGGCAACGGGUUAAAUUCGCUGCUAGACUCCGCGAGUAUUUUUAUGGCAAAAGCUCUAGCGCCAUCCACCCUUAAAGCUUAUAGCUACGCGUGGUCCAUGUUUAAUUUAUUCUGCAUUUCCAUGCACGUAUCAGUUCUUCCAGUGUCGGUCCCUGUCGUCUGCAAUUUUAUCGUCCACUGCUCCGAAUCUCGUAGACAUAAAUUGUCUACGAUUCGCGGGUACUUAGCUGGCAUUCAAUUUUAUGCAAGAUGCCAAGUUCCCGGCUCUCCUAGUCUAUUUUCAGCUCCCGCAAUCCGUCUCCUAUUGAAGGGCAUGUAUAAAUCGGGGCCAACAGUACCAGACAAACGCUCUCCUAUCACUUUCGAUAUUUUGAAUAGAUUAGUGUGCUCUCUCAGAGCUGGGAGAUUCCAUCCUUAUUUUAACAUAUUACUCGAGACAGCGUUCUACGGGGUCAUGCGUCCAGGGGAAUACACGUUUCCUACUCAGACUUUUGCUUUUUCCCUACACGGGGCCUGGCUUUCGCUGAUGUCACCUUCUCUGCAAGGCAUUUUUCCAUCUUCUUAAAACGGUCUAAAAGCGAUAGCCUAGGGGCAGGUGUUACUAUUAUCAUUUCAAGAAUCAACAACUCUCUCUGUCCUUACGCUUCCAUGCUCCGGUAUCUCAAGCUUCGGGCAACGCACGUCCCCCGAAUCACCUCUGUUUAUUAACGGCCUGCCAAUGACUUAAGAGUGGUUCAGAGUCCAUCUCGCGAAGGUGGUAGAAGGGUGCGGCCUACCAUCUCCCCUUCACACUGGCCACUCCUUCAGGAUUGGAGCGGCAACCACAGCCGCUGAACAAGGGUUGCCAGACGCGUCCAUCAAACGGCUGGGAAGGUGGUCUUCCACAGUUUACGAAUCCUACAUCCGUUUGAAUCCAAGGUUCUUUCUUCAAGCGCACACGAUGCUCUCUAACGUCGGUUAAGGCAGGUUUAACCCGUUUGCAACUAUAGCUGUUUUUGGCGGCCUGUUUCCAUUCUAGUUUUAGUCUAGUCUUUGUGUCAAGCUGUCACUUUAGUUUUUAUUAGUUUUAGUCACGUUCAUACUCUUUUCUAGUGAUAUCGAAAUUCCGUUUAGAUAUUAUCGAGAUACAAGUGUGUAGAUUUGUUAAAUAAGGUAAACGGUUGAAAAUUGAUGUAGUUAUGUCUUAAAAAGUUGAAGUUCCAGAUGAACAAAAUAACGUUAUAACAGUUUUUAUCGCCUAGUUUAGGUCAACGAAAAUGAAGAGACAUUGUAGCAGUCUCAUUUUGUAAAACACUUUUUAGUCUCUUUUUUAUUCUGAUAUGUACUUAAUUAUAGUUUUUGUCACAUGACCAGCAUUUACGUUGCGUCUUGUGUUCCUCACGCGAUAAAGGUUUGUUGUUGACGACAUUUAGUCAUAAUUUUCGUUGUCAAAGGUAACACUAUUUGCAACUACUGGUAGGCCUACUAAACUCAUAAAACAAAAUUCGGCUAUUUAACUCAAGGUAAACCUGCAGCAACCCCGGCGAGUGUGACCACGUCGGUUGAUCAUCUAGAAAACACUCUUGAGUUUGUUGUCAAGUCGGUGGCACAACAUCAAAAAACUCAAGGUUCGCAGCGGCAACCCCGGUGAGUGCGUUGACCACAGCGCAGUGGUAACAACUCGGGCACUCGUGAGUAUGACCACGUCGGUGGCACGUUAUCUAAUACUCAUGGUUUGACUGCAGUAACCCCGGUGAGUGCGUUGACCACGUCGGUGGGCACAACUCAGGCACUCGUGAGUUCGUUGCACACGUCGGUGUGGUACAACACAGAACUCAACACAGACCUUUUCUGCAAUCAUGCUCACCUGGUCUUCAUCUCCAAUCAACUCCCCUUCAUAAACCCUUGGAUUCCCUGCUGUCGGUGCCAGAUCGUACUACGCAAUACUGUGGUAAUGAUACACGCCUGGCUCAAGUAUUCGUGUUACCUCGCUCUCGCUCUUUCGUCUCUUGUUGUUUUUGACCACAACCCAACUCUGUUUUCCUCUGCCUGCAGUUAUCCGGAUCCUUCGCUCCAGCUCGCCUGCCUCGCUCCUUCCCCGGCUACCUCAUCCACUACCUGCCUCCUCGCCUCGUACAAUAAACCCUUUUUUCAUCAAUUCAACUUCGUCUCCGUCUGCUCUUGGGUUCAGCAUCGUUUAACCAUAACACAUGUGAAUUUAAUUACCACGCCGGUGGCAUAAUAUCAAACGCUCAAGUGCAGGGCACUCGGAGUUCAGUGACCACG
ensembl:lncRNA